CAGGACGAACGCUGGCGGCGUGCCUAAUACAUGCAAGUCGAACGGUCUUUCUAUGGAAGCUUGCUUCCACUGAGAAGAUAGUGGCGAAACGGGUGAGUAACACGUGGGUAACCUGCCCAUAAGAGGGGGGAUAACAUCCGGAAACGGGUGCUAAUACCGCAUAGUUUUCUUGAUCGCAUGAUUGAGAAAGGAAAGACGGCCUUUGUGCUGUCGCUUAUGGAUGGACCCGCGGCGUAUUAGUUAGUUGGUGAGGUAACGGCUCACCAAGACGAUGAUACGUAGCCGACCUGAGAGGGUGAUCGGCCACAUUGGGACUGAGACACGGCCCAAACUCCUACGGGAGGCAGCAGUAGGGAAUCUUCCGCAAUGGACGAAAGUCUGACGGAGCAACGCCGCGUGAGUGAAAGAAGGUUUUCGGAUCGUAAAACUCUGUUGUCAGAGAAGAACAAGUUGGAGAGUAACUGCUCCAGCCUUGACGGUAUCUGACCAGAAAGCCACGGCUAACUACGUGCCAGCCGCCGC
rnacentral:rRNA from 1 species